CCUGUACUCUCUAGACCGCUCACCCGCCUGAUCUCUAUGGUCUCCGUCUGCGCAUGUGCGGCGUAGGCCCCACCUCUUCUUUUCCUCCCGCGCGGGCCACGUGAGGAGAUUCUGGAGCCUUCAAGUUGUCCCCCGUGCGCAAGCAGCAGGACGAGGCCCAGGACUUUUCGGGCCUGCACGUUUGCUGAGAGUGGUGUUCUUGUGGCGGGGGCGGAAGGUGGACGUCUUAGGAAGCCUUGCGACCCAGUCGGGACCCCCACAGGGACUCCGCAGUGCCUGGGGAUGGCCUGGACCUCGCCCGGGAAAGCUGAAACUUCACAGUCCUCUCUAAUGUCUGAAGUGCUCCAGAAAAUGAAUCUAUUUGAGGAUGCAGUUUUACAAAACCAGAGGUAG
rnacentral:lncRNA from 1 species